AACGAACGCUGGCGGCAUGCCUAACACAUGCAAGUCGAACGAGACCUUCGGGUCUAGUGGCGCACGCGUGCGUAACGCGUGGGAACCUGCCCUUAGGUUCGGAAUAACUCCCCGAAAGGGGUGCUAAUACCGGAUAAUGUCUUCGGACCAAAGAUUUAUCGCCUUUGGAUGGGCCCGCGUUGGAUUAGCUAGUUGGUAGGGUAAAAGCCUACCAAGGCGACGACCCAUAGCUGGUCUGAGAGGAUGAUCAGCCACACUGGGACUGAGACACGGCCCAGACUCCUGCGGGAGGCAGCAGUGGGGAAUAUUGGACAAUGGGCGAAAGCAUGAUGCAGCAAUGCCGCGUGAGUGAUGAAGGCCUUAGGGUUGUAAAGCUCUUUUACCCGGGAUGAUAAUGACAGUACCGGGAGAAUAAGCUCCGGCUAACUCCGUG
rnacentral:rRNA from 1 species